UACGUAGGGUGCGAGCGUUGUCCGGAAUUACUGGGCGUAAAGGGCGCGUAGGCGGUCUUGCAAGUCCUGUGUGAAAUCCCUCGGCUCAACUGAGGAACUGCACAGGAAACUGCUUGGCUUGAGUUCGGGAGAGGGAAGCGGAAUUCCGGGUGUAGCGGUGAAAUGCGUAGAUAUCCGGAGGAACACCGGUGGCGAAGGCGGCUUCCUGGACCGACACUGACGCUGAGGCGCGAAAGCUAGGGGAGCAAACGGG
rnacentral:rRNA from 1 species